AUGCUCCUUGUUGUGUCAAGUGUUGGCAGAUAUUCGGUACCCCCUCCAGGGGACCGAGGUUGAACCCCGAACUUCAUCCUCCCCCAUACGAAGUUCGGGGUUUUUUUGGUUCUUCG
rnacentral:sRNA from 1 species